GAUGAACGCUGGCGGCUUGCCUAAUACAUGCAAGUCGAGCGAACGGACGAGAAGCUUGCUUCUCUGAUGUUAGCGGCGGACGGGUGAGUAACACGUGGAUAACCUACCUAUAAGACUGGGAUAACUUCGGGAAACCGGAGCUAAUACCGGAUAAUAUUUUGAACCGCAUGGUUCAAAAGUGAAAGACGGUCUUGCUGUCACUUAUAGAUGGAUCCGCGCUGCAUUAGCUAGUUGGUAAGGUAACGGCUUACCAAGGCAACGAUGCAUAGCCGACCUGAGAGGGUGAUCGGCCACACUGGAACUGAGACACGGUCCAGACUCCUACGGGAGGCAGCAGUAGGGAAUCUUCCGCAAUGGGCGAAAGCCUGACGGAGCAACGCCGCGUGAGUGAUGAAGGUCUUCGGAUCGUAAAACUCUGUUAUUAGGGAAGAACAUAUGUGUAAGUAACUGUGCACAUCUUGACGGUACCUAAUCAGAAAGCCACGGCUAACUACGUGCCAGCAGCCGCGGUAAUACGUAGGUGGCAAGCGUUAUCCGGAAUUAUUGGGCGUAAAGCGCGCGUAGGCGGUUUUUUAAGUCUGAUGUGAAAGCCCACGGCUCAACCGUGGAGGGUCAUUGGAAACUGGAAAACUUGAGUGCAGAAGAGGAAAGUGGAAUUCCAUGUGUAGCGGUGAAAUGCGCAGAGAUAUGGAGGAACACCAGUGGCGAAGGCGACUUUCUGGUCUGUAACUGACGCUGAUGUGCGAAAGCGUGGGGAUCAAACAGGAUUAGAUACCCUGGUAGUCCACGCCGUAAACGAUGAGUGCUAAGUGUUAGGGGGUUUCCGCCCCUUAGUGCUGCAGCUAACGCAUUAAGCACUCCGCCUGGGGAGUACGACCGCAAGGUUGAAACUCAAAGGAAUUGACGGGGACCCGCACAAGCGGUGGAGCAUGUGGUUUAAUUCGAAGCAACGCGAAGAACCUUACCAAAUCUUGACAUCCUUUGACAACUCUAGAGAUAGAGCCUUCCCCUUCGGGGGACAAAGUGACAGGUGGUGCAUGGUUGUCGUCAGCUCGUGUCGUGAGAUGUUGGGUUAAGUCCCGCAACGAGCGCAACCCUUAAGCUUAGUUGCCAUCAUUAAGUUGGGCACUCUAAGUUGACUGCCGGUGACAAACCGGAGGAAGGUGGGGAUGACGUCAAAUCAUCAUGCCCCUUAUGAUUUGGGCUACACACGUGCUACAAUGGACAAUACAAAGGGCAGCGAAACCGCGAGGUCAAGCAAAUCCCAUAAAGUUGUUCUCAGUUCGGAUUGUAGUCUGCAACUCGACUACAUGAAGCUGGAAUCGCUAGUAAUCGUAGAUCAGCAUGCUACGGUGAAUACGUUCCCGGGUCU
rnacentral:rRNA from 1 species